UCACAGGGGAACUGGAAAGAUUUAACUUCUACAUUACAACUAGUAGUAAGCAAAAACAAAUAUAAUCACAAACUUCUGCUUUUCUCAGUUAUUGCACUGCUCGAGGUAAGGACUCUCUAUUAAAUAUUUAUUUUGCAUUUUGUCUUUAAGCUUAUUUAAAACUUUCACAUUAAAAAAAUAAAUGUGGCUGUAUUGAUGGUGUCAAGAUUUGUCUUUCUGUUUGAGGUUUUUUUAUUGAUAAUUCUACAACUUGUACUGGUAUCUUCAGGUGAGUUCCUUGUGCUGAAAAUAAAUUAUAUAAAAAGCUUCAGAAUCGUAAAAUGGACUUUGCUUUAAUUUUUUUGUACUACUUUUGCGAAACAAGAUAUUUUAAUGUGUCUUUGUAUGUUGCUUUUUUGUUUUCAGAGCCUGCAUGUUACACAGAAUAAGGGUAGCCAUGUGAAGUGCCUUCAUAGAUUGAAAACUAAUGUGUUUUGAUGUUUGUGUGUGUUUGUACCUACAGCACUUAAGAUGUCUGUCUUUACUUUUGUGGUUUUUCUGUUCCUUCCUUAUGAACUUGGACUGGGAAUUACAGGACACUAUUAUGCAAUAUUGCCAAACAGAAUAACAGCACUAAGCGGCUCUUGUCUGCAGAUACCUUGUACAUUUGAUGCACCAGAGAACACACUCAACAACACAAAAAAUAUAUUUGGCUAUUGGAUAAAGAGGAACCCUGCUUUUCUCAAGCCAGAUAGUUUGGUGGUUUUUAAUGGAAGUACAAACAUCAUCAAAGAAUUUAGUCAUAUAGAAAUUCUUGGUAAUCUUAGUCAGCAUGAAUGUACCAGUGUUUUCUAUGGUGUCAUGAACAAUCACACAGACAAAUACUACUUUAGGGUGCAAACGAAGGAUGCAGCUAUUUGGACAUAUACAUAUCAAUACAGUCCCAUUACCAUUUCUGUCUCCGAUGUACCGGAGCUUCCCAUCAUUACACCCACUGAUCUGGAAGAAGUGAUGGAAGAAAGUACAAUCAAUCUGAGCUGCUCUGCUGAGGCCCCCUGCCCCAAACAACCUCCUACAAUAUCCUGUUCUAACAUCCCUAAAUCUGCCCACAUUACAACACAGUUACAGGAGAAACCUGAUAAAACCCAGUCAGUGUUUUCACACAUAAUCUUCAAAGCUUCAUACAAAGAUCACAGAAAGAACAUCUCCUGCACUGCUACAUAUCCAAGAAAUACAACUAAUGACUCAACUGUGGAGACCACCGUGA